UACGUAGGGUGCGAGCGUUAAUCGGAAUUACUGGGCGUAAAGCGUGCGCAGGCGGUUUGGUAAGACAGAUGUGAAAUCCCCGGGCUUAACCUGGGAAUUGCAUUUGUGACUGCCCGGCUAGAAUCUGGCAGAGGGGGGUAGAAUUCCACGUGUAGCAGUGAAAUGCGUAGAGAUGUGGAGGAAUACCGAUGGCGAAGGCAGCCCCCUGGGCCAAGAUUGACGCUCAUGCACGAAAGCGUGGGGAGCAAACAGG
rnacentral:rRNA from 1 species